GGUGUUCUUCCCGAUAUCUACACAUUCCACCGUUACACCGGGAAUUCCAGUCUCCCCUACCGCACUCCAGCCCGCCCGUACCCGGCGCAGACCCACCGUUAAGCGAUGGGCUUUCACACCGGACGCGACGAACCGCCUACGAGCCCUUUACGCCCAAUAAUUCCGGAUAACGCUUGCACCCUACGUAUUACCGCGGCUGCUGGCACGUAGUUAGCCGGUGCUUAUUCGAAAGGUACACUCACCCCGAAGGGCUUGCUCCCGAUCAAAAGCGGUUUACAACCCGAAGGCCUCCAUCCCGCACGCGGCGUCGCUGCAUCAGGCUUGCGCCCAUUGUGCAAUAUUCCCCACUGCUGCCUCCCGUAGGAGUCUGGGCCGUAUCUCAGUCCCAAUGUGGCCGGUCGCCCUCUCAGGCCGGCUACCCGUCGAAGCCAUGGUGGGCCGUUACCCCGCCAUCAAGCUGAUAGGACGCGACCCCAUCCCAUACCGAUAGAAUCUUUCCCGGAAGGACAUGCAUCCAACCGGAGUAUCCGGCAUUAC
rnacentral:rRNA from 1 species